rnacentral:misc_RNA from 1 species
AACCAUUCUCACCUGCGGCUAGACCUGCGGAAGGAUCAUUACCGAGUUAUACAACUCAUCAACCCCUGUGAACUUACCUACAACGUUGCUUCGGCGGGAACAGACGGCCCCGUAAAACGGGCCGCCCCCGCCAGAGGACCCCUAACUCUGUUUUUAUAAUGUUUUUCUGAGUAAACAAGCAAAUAAAUUAAAACUUUUAACAAUGGAUCU